rnacentral:rRNA from 1 species
CUUGUAGGCGGUCUGAUAAGUCCGGUGUGAAAUCCCUUGGCUUAACCAAGGAACUGCGCCGGAUACUGUCGGACUAGAGGCCGGGAGAGGGAAGCGGAAUUCCCAGUGUAGCGGUGAAAUGCGUAGAUAUUGGGAGGAACACCGGUGGCGAAGGCGGCUUCCUGGACCGGUUCUGACGCUGCAGAGCGAAAGCUAGGGUAGCAAACA